AUACUUACCUGGCAGGGGAGAUACCAAGAUCACGAAUGUAGUUUUCACAGGGCGAGGCUUAUCCAUUGCACUCCAGAUGUGCUGAGCACUGCAAUUUUCCCAAAUGUGCAAAACUCAAUUGUAUAAUUUGUGGUAAUGGGGGACUGUGUUCAUGCUUUCCCUUG
rnacentral:snRNA from 1 species